AGAAGGAAUUCAUCUAUACAAUACCAGGAGUUUGGGUUUUAUUGUUAGAACUUUAUAUAACUAUGAUUCUUAUGAUCAACAAUCUAGAUUUGAUACUUCGGUUAGGUUGUAAUCACAUUAGCUAAACAUGUUUAGUAAUUGGGGCGCCACAAGUUUGUAUCAGAGCUCAUUACUAGAUCUUACAUGGGCGACAAUAGGAUUAGCCAGUGACAGAUAGAUUAUUAAAUUAGUUUAGAACUGGGUUGGGUUUGUUAGAUAAAUCUUAAUCACUAAAAAAAACAAUCAAGAAUUAAAAUAUUUUUUAAUUGAUUGAUUGUUCAGCAUGAUGAUUGCUUGUUUCUUGUUUUGUGUGUAUAUAUUUAUGAAGUAAAAAUUGUAGGCUGAAACCAAUUGUGGUAUAAGUUAGAAAUUUCAACAGAUAACUAGAAAUUAGUUAGUCUCAAUUAAAUGAUACUUAGAUAAUCUAGCACUGGAGAAUAGUGAGGUUGGCAACUACAUGCAUGGAUUACCAUUCGUAAAAGGAGAACUUGCUUCUAUUAGUGAACUAUUAGAUCCUAAAUUUUACUUAGAAACUACUAGAGUACCUUUUCUCGUAGUUAGAACCAUUAACCUAUUAAAGUAGAAGGUUAGUGUGAAUAAAUGUAGACCUAGUUAUUUGUUAGAAUUUAAUUCAACAUAGUGAGCUUAGAGUUAAUCAACUUAUGAAAUAGAAAUUAGUAUAAAGAGCUUAGAGACUAAAAUUUAUAGUUUUCUAGUUGUAGAAAACCAUAUGGGUUUGUAUUUCAUUUCUUGUUGUUUCGGACUCAUUUGAAAUGAGUUAAUCUUCGUGCGUUUGUAAGUAUGAGCAGUACUUGCAUUUAGUCGAGAGAUAGUAAUUCUCCAUAAGGUGGGGAGUUUUUGAAGACUAUAUGGUGGAUCGAUUUUCGAGGACGAAAAUGAUAUAAGGUGGGGAGAAUGUAACGAGCCUCAAGCUCGUCAACGCUAUUAGACCAGUCAAGAGACGACUAAGCCGUUACCGACCCGAUUAAUUAGAGACGAACGUAAUUAAUAUAGAAUUUAAAUUAACAACAAUCUAGAUACGAAACUAGUAUCACUGUAUAGGUCUCAAAAAGUUACGCGCAUUGGACUACUCAAACGUGUCCUUCAGACACCGGACGAAGAAGAUAACAUCAGAGUCGUACGAGGGGGAAAAUAAUCAUUUUACAUCUAGACCGCCUGGCUGCCCAUAUCAAUUCAACGGGUGCCUUUAUAAUUUCAGUUGCCUUAUCAUCACCAAACGUGUCGAGAGAAAAUCAUUUCUCUUUUCUUAUUCCCUUUCUUUCUUCUUUCAUCUUCUUCUCUGUUUCUCUUCUCCUCCUCUCUGUCGAUUUUUUUUCAGUGGUUUGAGAUUGAGUUGCUCGAAAUUAGUUCAUAGAAAGCUUGUAGUUGUUGAGUUGAGGGAGAAGGUGAUGUUGUUGUUGUCGAUUGGGUUUUUGGAAGAAGCAGGAAGUUAGAAUUUUGGAAAUAAUUGAGUUAGGUUUUCAAUUGAGGUUCAAAGAAGGAUUGGAGGAUGAAGAUGAUGGUUUACGAGGUUGAAUUAAGUUGGGUUUAUCACGAAUUAGAAUCUAAAGUUAAAGAGUGGUCUGAAUUUGAUAUUAGGGUUUUCUGAGUUGGAUUAGAAUUCAAAUUAGGUGAUGAUUAAGAAGAAAUUGACGACUGGGUUUUGUUGAUUGAGGUGCGGGAUGAAGUUAAUUGGAUGGCAUGGAGUUGUUCAUGAAGAAUUUAGGAGUUAGGGUUUUUGUUCUUCCCCAAAAUGGAAUUAGUAUUUCAGAAUAAUUGAAAUGGGAUUUAGCUAUUCAGAGGAUGUCGAUUCUUGGUUAUUCCUUAUAAACAACGAUCGAUUUAAAAACUGAGCCAAUGGAUUAUGGAUCUCAAGGUAGGCGAGGCUUGUCAUCAAAUAAGGUGGGAACUCUAUAACCUUCUUGUAAUCAUUAAGUUCCUUUUCAUAUGCGAGCAUGAUGAGUCAUUAUUUCUUAUGAGCAUAUUUGUGUGUAAAUGAUUGGGUAUGUUGUGUAAUAUUCGUUGUGUGGAUUCUCCAAAUGUUAUAUCUAUUUUUAUGUUUAUUGUAGCCCUGAUGAGGCAAUAUCGUUAUAUAGAGGAAUAUUACCUUUUACAAUUUCUUGUGAGAAUCCAUUCGUUUGCAUAUUAUGCUUGAUUGCAAAACCUUCGGGACUUAUGAUGGUAGAUUCUUGAAUCAUGGUGUGGAUGGGCACAUCGUGUGGAUGGGCUAUUAUUGGAGUCUGGAGUUAUUCUGUUUUCGCUUUCUCCAAUGAGUUUGGCGAGGUCUGAGUGACAUAGUUUAGUUGUUCUUGCUUCACUUUUGUGGAUUCAUCCGGUGGUGGUCUUUCACGGAUAUUGCCACUAUGGACGCAAUAUCUAAGGAAGUGGAACUAGAAUAACAUUGUUUCAUGAAUGAUAUAUAAUACAAUGCUUGUUGUUUGUUGUGUGAAUAAUUUGAUGUGUGUUUGAGUGAAAUCCCCGCGAGGAGUGACUGUGGUCUCCCCACAGCUCCUUUCUAAGUCUUAUAGCCCAGAUGAGGCAAUAUAUAACAUGAGAAGUGCAUAUAAUAGCUAUCUAGCGCGUAAAGCGAAAUAGUAUUAUUUUUUAUUUUAUAACCUAAUUUAUGUCGUUAAUGGCCCAGAUGAGGAAAUAGUAUAUCGAGGUAUUUGGGGAAAUUACUCUUACACAUGUUAUGCACGAUGACAUGUUUAAAUUACUUCUUCUUUAUAACUGUGUAGUAUGUUAGUGAUUACUUGAGAGUUACAUGUCUUCAUUGAGCACCCUUUGGGGUGAUGUACUCACUCGUUCCCACUUCAGUUUCAGUUUCCAAAUAAGACGAUGUACGUGAAGACUUCUGUUUCCGUAUCUUAGAGCCUUACCGAUAUAGAGAUGCUGUGUAUAUUUUAUUAUAUGUAUCUUUAUUCUGAAAAACAACACAUUAUUGUAUUCAUAUCUAUCAGAAGGAAUUCAUCUAUACAAUACCAGUAGUUUGGGUUUUAUUGUUAGAACUUUAUAUAAUUAUGAUUCUUAUGAUCAACAAUCUAGAUUUGAUACUUCAGUUAGGUUGUAAUCCCAUUAGCUAAGCAGGUUUAGUAAUUGGGGCGCCACACCCUGCUUAGCACGUAACAGUGAUAUUGUUGCGGGGUAAGCAAUAGAUGGUGACAGGCGAGAACAAAUUGAAAAGGCAAGGCAUGGAUGGAUUACCAGGAAACAUUUGAUCGACUCUUGGCAAUAGGUAUGAGCGGCACUGGUGCACUGUUAGUCCGUACAUGGAGCGUUGGCGCUCGCGGGCUCGGCUGCCUUCUUCCGUGCAUGCUGGUGCUCCUUGUUGUGUUGAUCUCCCUUCAUUGCUGUAGCAGGGAAGUGGCUGCUGUUUUGAAUUUGGGACAUCGACUGCCUUGCAUCCUCCAGAUAUACUGACUAGGACCCGUAUUUGGGAUGGACGCGUUCUUCCGUUGACCAUCCAACGGUCCUUUCCCGGUUCUUAAUUAGGGUUUCAACAAGAAGCAUGACUUGGUUGGUGUUGAACCCUCGUUUAUCGGAUGAAUCUUGUUACAACCAUUCAGUCUCAUUUUAGGGUUUCUGCCGCGUGUAUAAAUAUACAGGGAAGUUAAAAACACCCUUAUCGUGCUGAGAUAAAGAUUCUCUUGCUGAAACUCCAGCCUUUCAUCAUGUCAGACAGAAGUGGAUCAUCUUCUUCGACUCAGCCAGAUUCUUCUACCAAACGCAAGCGGCUUGUAUCCAGAAGCGGUCGAAUCCCUGAGCCUCGUGACGGUUCUCCUGUCUGAAUCAUUCGAGUCAAGAAGAUCAUACCGAUCUUUUUUUUUACUGGUGAAUAUGCAUUUGUUAGCCACGACCGGUAGGUAAAAAAAUCUUUUCUCCUUCCUUUUGUAGAGGUAUCCUUCUGGGACAUGUGUAACAGUGGUUGAAGACGAUGAUUUAACCACUCCUCUCCCUUCAAGCUCAAACUCGCCUGAUGCUGACCUGAAAGACGCUGAUUUGGGUAUCUCCUCCUACGAGUACCCCAAUGCAGGCUUGCAUUUCGACAUUCACAUGAGAUGCUUGUCUUUUAGUUACCGGGUUGUUGGCGGUUUUCUAUGAGGAAGGAGUUCAUACCCUUGUAUACAAAAAUAUGGAGAAGGUACGGCCAUAUUGCAACUAGGAACGUGGUGCGGCACUGCUCGUCUGCUUUAGUUACCACGGUGAACUGUCUCCUUCCCAUGAUUGCCAAGAUGGAAGGUACAUCCAUACGUGAUGUUGCUGAAUCAGCUAUUUAAAAGUGGGAAGACAUGAUAUCCACCUGUGAAUCCAUGAAGUUCAACGUGGGAUGGUUGCGGCAACGCCUUUAUAUUAUCAAAGUUGAUCGAGCCGGUAUCAUCGCCAAUGUCGUUCCUGCUGCGAAAGCUAUCUUGGAAGAGGAGAAGGCCCUGGCUGCGGAAUCUAAGAAGGUGGAACAUGCGAUCCAAAAUUUGAACAGUAAGACUGAAAGGUAUCAGGAGAGACUGAAAAUGAUGCUUUCAAGGAACUAUAACUUGUUGGAUGGCCUUUUCUGAGUCAUACUUAUAUUUAUUGUUUUAAAUAAGUAGGUACAAUGACGUUUUCAUCGUCCCUUUUUUUUGUUGUUGGGGUUUUGAGCCUUGCUUUGGAAAAUGAAUUGCAUUGGGUUUUGUUAA